rnacentral:rRNA from 1 species
UGGGGGAUAUUGCACAAUGGGCGAAAGCCUGAUGCAGCGACGCCGCGUGGGGGAUGAAGGCCUUCGGGUUGUAAACUUCUUUUGCUCUGAACAAGGCAUGCCUUUGGGGUGUGUUGAGUGUAGGGGUUGAUUAGCGCCGGCUAACUACGUGCCAGCAGCCGCGGUAAUACGUAGGGCGCGAGCGUUGUCCGGAAUUAUUGGGCGUAAAGGGCUUGUAGGUGGCUGGUUGCGUCUGUCGUGAAAGCUCAUGGCUUAACUGUGGGUUUGCGGUGGGUACGGGCUGGCUUGAGUGCAGUAGGGGAGGCUGGAAUUCCUGGUGUAGCGGUGGAAUGCGCAGAUAUCAGGAGGAAUACCGGUGGCGAAGGCGGGUCUCUGGGCUGUUACUAACGCUGAGGAGCGAAAGCGUGGGGAGCGAACAGG